AUACAGGGGCGAUGAAAAAAUCUUUGGCGAAUGUUGUGGCAUCUGGCGCUGACACGACCAACUCUCUCUGUCUGUCCCCAACAGUUUAUUUAUUUCGCAAGAAUUCCGUGGAGGAAACAUUUUUUUCCAUGUUUGAAGUCUUGCUUGGUGAUGGAAUGAGUCAUUUUCUGAAGCAAUGAGAUGGAAGGAACCUUCAUAGCAUCCAACAAACAAGGAUUUCUAUGAGGCAUUGUGUUUUCCACAUUGCAGACCUCUGUAUCACCAACUUAAAUGAGCCUCCACCUGUCCACCAUGAUCUCCCCCAAACUUAAUCCACACCUCUUCUUCAGGAAUUGCCCCAUCGUGAGUUGUGAGAAAUCCAUUCCUGUGGAAAGAUGAUGGAACAUGAACAUAUGGUCUGUGACUCUGCUAUGGACCUAGUGAAUCACUGUUGACUGUCCAUGGUUCAAGUGAGGAUUGGCAAACCUGGUCAUUUCUUGAUUACCU